UAGUGGGUGCAGGUGAAUUAUGGGAGUUGGAGUGAGGGCUGAUAGUGGGUGCAGGUGAAUUAUGGGAGUUGGAGUGAGGGCUGAUAGUGGGUACAGGUGAAUUAUGGGAGUUGGAGUGAGGGCUGAUAGUGGGUGCAGGUGAAUUAUGGGAGUUGGAGUGAGGGCUGAUAGUGGGUACAGGUGAAUUAUGGUAGUUGGAGUGAGGGCUGAUAGUGGGUGCAGGUGAAUUAUGGGAGUUGGAGUGAGGGCUGAUAGUGGGUGCAGGUGAAUUAUGGGAGUUGGAGUGAGGGCUGAUAGUGGGUGCAGGUGAAUUAUGGGAGUUGGAGUGAGGGCUGAUAGUGGGUACAGGUGAAUUAUGGUAGUUGGAGUGAGGGCUGAUAGUGGGUGCAGGUGAAUUAUGGGAGUUGGAGUGAGGGCUGAUAGUGGGUGCAGGUGAAUUAUGGGAGUUGGAGUGAGGGCUGAUAGUGGGUGCAGGUGAAUUAUGGGAGUUGUAGUGAGGGCUGAUAGUGGGUGCAGGUGAAUUAUGGGAGUUGGAGUGAGGUCUGG